AUUGAACGCUGGCGGCAGGCUUAACACAUGCAAGUCGAACGAGUGGCGGACGGGUGAGUAAUGCCUGGGAAUCUAGCUUAUGGAGGGGGAUAACUACGGGAAACUGUAGCUAAUACCGCGUACCAUAGGAUGAACCCAUAUGGGAUUAGCUAGUAGGUGGGGUAAAGGCUCACCUAGGCGACGAUCCCUAGCUGGUCUGAGAGGAUGAUCAGCCACAUUGGGAGUGAGACACGGCCCAGCCUCCUACGGGAGGCAGGAGUGGUGAAUAUUGCACAAUGGGCGCAAGCCUGAUGCAGCCAUGCCGCGUGUAUGAAGAAGGCCUUCGGGUUGUAAAGUACUUUCAGCGGGGAGGCGUUACCCACAGAAGAAGCACCGGCUAACUCCGUGCCAGCAGCCGCGGUAAUAC
rnacentral:rRNA from 1 species